rnacentral:rRNA from 1 species
UACGUAGGGUGCGAGCGUUUAAUCGGAAUUACUGGGCGUAAAGCGUGCGCAGGCGGUUCGUUAAGUCAGAUGUGAAAGCCCCGGGCUCAACCUGGGAACUGCAUUUGAAACUGGCGGGCUUGAGUAUGGCAGAGGGGGGGUGGAAUUCCGCGUGUAGCAGUGAAAUGCGUAGAGAUGCGGAGGAACACCGAUGGCGAAGGCAGCCCCCCUGGGCCAAUACUGACGCUCAGGCACGAAAGCGUGGGGAGCAAACAGG